rnacentral:rRNA from 1 species
AUCUUUCCUUUGAUGGCAAGUAAAAGGGGGCGGUGAAAAGCCGCGACUUCAACCCCUAGUCUCAUCUUUUCGUCUGCGAAGAGAGAGGCGACACCCUCGAAUUGCCGGGACGCCUGAAAUCGUGCCAAGGGGUACCGUCCCUCCGCCGCAAGGCGGAGGCGACACCGCGGGGAAACUCGCGGGCGCGGUAACAAUCUUCCUUGGGCUUGCAGGUAAUCGGCAGCCAAGUCCUUCAUCGUCAAAGGAUGCAGUUCACAGACUAAGUGUGGGUGGAUCUCGCGUUUCCCGAGAAACGCGCGGUUUAAGAUAUAGUCGGCCGCCACCGUGAGGUGGUCUCGUGGAGGACGGCGUCCCGAUCAGGACGCCCGAGAGCCGCGAGAAGCUUGUCCGUCAGUACUGCUCGCCGCGAGGCGGGUCCAGGGCUCUCUUCCCAGGAAGAGAGCCGGACGAGCUCGAUCAGCGCUCAAAGAUUAAGCCAUGCAUGUCUAAGUAUAAACUGCUUUAUACUGUGAAACUGCGAAUGGCUCAUUAAAUCAGUUAUAGUUUAUUUGAUGGUACCUUACUACUCGGAUAACCGUAGUAAUUCUAGAGCUAAUACGUGCGUAAAUCCCGACUUCUGGAAGGGACGUAUUUAUUAGAUAAAAGGCCGACCGGGCUUGCCCGACUCGCGGUGAAUCAUGAUAACUUCACGAAUCGCAUGGCCUUGUGCCGGCGAUGUUUCAUUCAAAUUUCUGCCCUAUCAACUUUCAACCGUAAGGUAGUGGCCUACGGUGGUGGUAAC